rnacentral:rRNA from 1 species
GUGACGGUACCUACAAANGAAGCACCGGCUAACUAUGUGCCANCAGCCNCGNUAAUACAUNGGGUGCAAGCGUUGUCCUGUAUUAUUGGGCGUAAANAGCUCGUAGGUCGUUUGUUACGUCGGAUGUGAAAACCUGAGGCUCAACCUCAGGCCUGCAUUCNAUACGGGCAAACUANAGUUUGGUAGGGGAGACUGGANUUCCUGGUGUAGCGGUGGAAUGCNCANAUAUCANGAGGAACACCNAUGGCGAAGGCNGGUCUCUGGGCCAAUNCUGACACUGAGGAGCGAAAGUCUGGGGAGC